rnacentral:tRNA from 1 species
GGUUCCGUAGUGUAGUGGUUAUCACGUCUGCUUCACACGCAAAAGGUCCUGGGUUCGAGCCCCAGCGGAACCA